CCUACACGCUUUGAACGCAUCACUGAGAUGGGCUGCACCCCUGUAGUCCAGACAACCUGUAAACUAAUGCCUGCGUGAUGGCGGAGCACACGACAAUAAAAAGUUCAGACGAAGAGUUCAAAAGGGAAUACUUUUACAGAAACAGUGAAGCUGAGGAAAACAGAGAGGAGGAGAACCGGGCCGUCAUCCGAAUUCAGAGCUGGUUCCGAGCUUGUAAGGUGCGAGCAUACCUCAGCCAUUUGCACAAGAAAGCAGUCAUUAUACAGAAGAUAUGGCGGGGCUUCGCAGCAAGGGCACGCUUCAGACAAAUGGUGAAGGCGGCAUAUUUUAUCAUGAAGAUGAAUUUCUACGAGGAGAUGGCGGUCAGGAUUCAGCGGAGGUGGAGAGGCUUCUUUGUCAGGAAAUACAUCCAUGACUUUUAUGCACGGAAAAAAUACUUGGAGGGACUCCUCAUAAACAAUGAACUUAUGAGGAGAGAGCUUGAUGAGAUCCAGGACUUCCAAGAAAAAGAGAGAGAGCACCUGAAGAUGGUAAAAGAGCAGACAGCCAAAAUCUACCAAGCGCAUCGGUUACACCACCUCAUGAGCACAAAGCAGCACCCAGGGGUCUUCAACUCUCCAUUUAGACAAUCCCCUCAUGAGAUGGAGUUACUGUUGAGGGAGGUCAAGUACCAUACCCCCACUAGGGUGACCCCUAGAUGUAGUGGUUGUUUCUUGGACAUAUCUAACUCAGUAGGACCUACUUUCUCUGAGACUCUUGAACCCCUAUGGAUCAAAUCCACUAGAGCCUGCGACUUGAGGCCCAAACUACCUCCCAUUACCAGCAAGAAACAGCAGGUGAAGAUUGCCAAACCUAUAGGACCAUAAUGGAUUUGGUAGUUGUUUGGCUAAAACACAAAGCAUUAAAGUAUGCAAGAAGACUGACAACCUAACCAAAAACCACUUGAGAUAGACACCAACUCCCUGCUACCCUGAAGAGGAACAAGC